rnacentral:rRNA from 1 species
GAUGUACGCUGGCGGCGUGCCUAAUACAUGCAAGUCGAGCGAACGGACGAGGAGCUUGCUUCUCUGAUGUUAGCGGCGGACGGGUGAGUAACACGUGGAUAACCUACCUAUAAGACUGGGAUAACUUCGGGAAACCGGAGCUAAUACCGGAUAAUAUUUUGAACCGCAUGGUUCAAAAGUGAAAGACGGUCUUGCUGUCACUUAUAGAUGGAUCCGCGCUGCAUUAGCUAGUUGGUAAGGUAACGGCUUACCAAGGCAACGAUGCAUAGCCGACCUGAGAGGGUGAUCGGCCACACUGGAACUGAGACACGUUCCAGACUCCUACGGGAGGCAGCAGUAGGGAAUCUUCCGCAAUGGGCGAAAGCCUGACGGAGCAACGCCGCGUGAGUGAUGAAGGUCUUCGGAUCGUAAAACUCUGUUAUUAGGGAAGAACAUAUGUGUAAGUAACUGUGCACAUCUUGACGGUACCUAAUCAGAAAGCCACGGCUAACUACGUG